UACGUAGGCAGCGAGCGUUGUUCGGAGUUACUGGGCGUAAAGGGCGUGUAGGCGGUUUUCUAAGUUUGGUGUGAAAUCUCCCGGCUCAACCGGGAGGGUGCGCCGAAAACUGGGAGACUAGAGUGCGGGAUGGGAGAGUAGAAUUCCUGGUGUAGCGGUGAAAUGCGUAGAUAUCGGGAGGAACACCGGUGGCGAAGGCGGUUCUCUGGGCCUGUGCUGACGCUGAGGAGCGAAAGCGUGGGGAGCGAACAGG
rnacentral:rRNA from 1 species